CAAAGCAUAGCUUAGAUUUAAAGCAUCUAGUUUACACCCAGAAGAUUUCACAAUAAGUGAAUGCCUUGA